rnacentral:lncRNA from 1 species
UUUAAUGCAUUGAAAUGGUCUAAAACAAGCCCAAACGUACAACUUUUAAAGUAGAGUUACAUGUCAUUAAAGAAUGACCCAAUAGUAACAGUUGUACCAAAUACCUAAGUUAGGUAAGAAGUACUACGCUUAAAGCACAAGUUACAAGCCACUUCUCAUUGACUCUUCACACCGUGUCAAAAAAACUAGCUUUGAAGAACAAGUUAUCAAAGCAUGCCCUCAAAAAAAAACAUAGGGCAUUGCGGUAUGUCCUGAUACGCGAUGUAGUUGUCAAAAGAGAUAAAAAAAAAAGUAACCUUAUAAAAUACAAAUUAGUUAAAAAGAAAAAAAAAACUAAAUGACAAUGUAGAGCAACAGAAUAUAAAGCACAAGUUACAAGUUAUCAAAGCAUACCCCCAAAGAGUCGAUAUAUAAAAUUAACCCCAUUUAAUCUUGGAAUGUAAAAAUGGAGCCCAAGAUAAGUAUAAGUGUAUAAUUUGACACAAACGUACAGCUUUUAAAGAACAAGUUAUCAAAACAUGACCCAAUUUUUUUCUAUAAAUAAUUGAAUCCAUUUAUCUUGAAAGGUAAAUAAAAAAAAACCCAAAACGAGUGUAUAGUGUUGGACACACGUACAACUUUUGAAGCACAAAUUACAAGUCUUCAAACCAUGACACAAAGAUCUAAUAUAAAAAACAGAUAAACUGACAAAAUGGUCCCUAAGGUUUGGUCACUUUUGUCACUUUAAUCCAAAAGUGAAACCUUUUGAAUCUGGCUCAUGUGGUUUCAAUUCUUGUUUUCAUUUUCAUCCAAAAUC